rnacentral:lncRNA from 10 species
AUGGCUACUGAUCUUACCACAUACAGAAUACAGUCAAAGACUCACACUAGCUAUUCAAUAGACAGAGACUCUCAGUGGAAAAAGGAAGACCACUGUCUGAAGAUAAUCUUUAAAAUAAUCCAACAAUGUAGAAGCUUAAAACUCCCAGUGGUAAAAGAAGAAUAUGACCCAAGGAAUGUUAUUAAUGAUCACCUCUUCCUCUACAUUUUCCAAUGGCUUCUGAAAAGAUUGUAA